AGUUGCCAUCAUUGAGUUGGGCACUCUAAAGAGGACUGCCGGUGUCAAACCGGAGGAAGGUGGGGAUGACGUCAAGUCCUCACUGGCCUUUAUGACCAGGGCUACACACGUACUACAAUGGCCGGUACAAAGGGCAGCGAACCCGCGAGGGGGAGCGAAUCCCAAAAAAGCCGCUCUCAGUUCGGAUUGCAGGCUGCAACUCGCCUGCAUGAAGCCGGAAUCGCUAGUAAUCGCGGAUCAGCAUGCCGCGGUGAAUACGUUCCCGGGCCUU
rnacentral:rRNA from 1 species